rnacentral:rRNA from 1 species
GGCUCAGGAUGAACGCUAGCGGGAGGCUUAACACAUGCAAGUCGAGGGGCAGCACGAUGUAGCAAUACGUUGGUGGCGACCGGCGCACGGGUGAGUAACGCGUAUGUAACCUACCCUGUACAGGGGGAUAACCCGGAGAAAUUCGGACUAAUACCCCAUAAAGAUAUCGGAAGGCAUCUUUUGAUAUUUAAAGCUUCGGUGGUACGGGAUGGGCAUGCGUAACAUUAGCUAGUUGGAGGGGUAACGGCCCACCAAGGCGAUGAUGUUUAGGGGUCCUGAGAGGGUGAUCCCCCACACUGGUACUGAGACACGGACCAGACUCCUACGGGAGGCAGCAGUGAGGAAUAUUGGUCAAUGGGCGAAAGCCUGAACCAGCCAUCCCGCGUGCAGGAAGACGGCCCUAUGGGUUGUAAACUGCUUUUCCAGGGGGCGAAUAGUCACGACGAGUCGUGGUAUGACUGUACCCUGGGAAUAAGCAUCGGCUAACUCCGUGCCAGCAGCCGCGGUAAUACGGAGGAUGCGAGCGUUAUCCGGAUUUAUUGGGUUUAAAGGGUGCGUAGGCGGAGACAUAAGUCAGUGGUGAAAACCUGCAGCUUAACUGUAGAAUUGCCGUUGAUACUGUGUUUCUUGAGUAUGGUCAAGGCAGGCGGAAUGUGUAAUGUAGCGGUGAAAUGCUUAGAUAUUACACAGAACACCGAUUGCGAAGGCAGCUUGCUGGGCCAUUACUGACGCUGAUGCACGAAAGCGUGGGGAUCGAACAGGAUUAGAUACCCUGGUAGUCCACGCCGUAAACGAUGAUCACUCGCUGUUGGCGAUACACAGUCAGCGGCUAGCAAAAGCAUUAAGUGAUCCACCUGGGGAGUACGGCCGCAAGGCUGA